AACAAAAUGGCUGAUUUAAGCGAUAAAUUGUAAAUUUAUUAAUGAAUUUUUCUUUUGUUU
rnacentral:tRNA from 1 species